GUCUUUUUGACUUAAAUAUAAAGUAUAACCUGCCCAUUGAAAUUUUUAAAAGGCUGCGGUAUAUUGACCGUACAAAGGUAGCAUAAUCAUUAGUUUUUUAAUUGGAAACUUGUAUGAAUGGUUGAAUGAGGAAUAAACUUUUUUAAUAGAAAAAUUGAAUUUUACAUUUUAAUUAAAAGGUUAAAAUAUAUUUAAAAGACGAGAAGACCCUAUAGAGUUUUAUAAUUUAUAUUUAAUAUUAAAAAAAAUUAAUAGAUAUUUUUAUUUAAAUAAUUAUUUUGUUGGGGUGAUGAUAAAAUUUAAUUAACUUUUAUUUUUUUAUACAUUAAUAUAUGAAUAAUUGAUCCAUUAAUAGUGAUUAAAAAAUUAAAUUACCUUAGGGAUAACAGCGUAAUUUUUUUUUUAAGUUCAUAUUAAUAAAAAAUUUUGCGACCUCGAUGUUGGAUUAAGAUUUAAUUUUAGGUGCAGAAGUUUAAAAUUUAAGUCUGUUCGACUUUU
rnacentral:rRNA from 1 species